rnacentral:snRNA from 1 species
GUGCUCGCUUCAGCAGCACAUUUACUAAAAUUGGAACAAUACAGAGAAAGUUAGCAUGGCCCCUGCGCAAGGAUGACACGCAAAUUGGUGAAGCGUUCCACAUUUUU